AAAAAGUCUAAAGCGUCUUGCUGAAAAAUAUUACUUUUCGCUGGUUAAUGUUACUUGAGUGAUCGGUGUAUAGAUCAUCUGAAAACUAUGGCUCGUAUGAACAUGAAGAUAUAGGAAAAGCUUGGUGAAAGAGUUUCCAUUUUAGAGAAAAACAAUCCUGCCGCUAAAUUAACGACGCUCUCACACCUAACAAGUAACAAGACCACACAACACGACACAAUACAGCCCGACGUACAACAGAGAUAAACGUCAAUAACAACAAAAUGGCAAAAGAUACACGAUGCUCAAAAAACAGCUAGUAGACUCCGAACACACCAUGCAACAGCUUGAGCAUCAACGCCCUCGUCCAACCCAGAAGCAGGCCAAAUAAAAGACAUAGUCAAGAAAGCAUCAGUUUUAUUUAUUGUAGAAAGAACGAUUAGCCCCAGCCUCUGCAUCAUUGCCAUGAACACGAGACAUUUGGUGC
rnacentral:lncRNA from 1 species